UGGGGAAUAUUGCACAAUGGGCGAAAGCCUGAUGCAGCAACGCCGCGUGAGUGAUGAAGGCCUUCGGGUUGUAAAGCUCUGUCUUCUGGGACGAUAAUGACGGUACCAGAGGAGGAAGCCACGGCUAACUACGUGCCAGCAGCCGCGGUAAUACGUAGGUGGCAAGCGUUGUCCGGAUUUACUGGGCGUAAAGGAUGCGUAGGCGGAUACUUAAGUCAGAUGUGAAAAUCCCGGGCUUAACUUGGGAACUGCAUUUGAAACUGGCUAACUAGAGUGCGGGGGAGGAAAGGGGAAUUCCUGGUGUAGCGGUGAAAUGCGUAGAGAUUAGGAAGAACACCAGUGGCGAAGGCGACUUUCUGGACCGUAACUGACGCUGUGGCAUGAAAGCGUGGGGAGC
rnacentral:rRNA from 1 species